UACGAAGGGGGCUAGCGUUGUUCGGAAUCACUGGGCGUAAAGGGCGCGUAGGCGGCCGAUCAAGUCGGGGGUGAAAGCCUGUGGCUUAACCACAGAAUGGCCUUCGAUACUGUUUGGCUUGAGACCGGAAGAGGGUAGUGGAACUGCGAGUGUAGAGGUGAAAUUCGUAGAUAUUCGCAAGAACACCAGUGGCGAAGGCGGCUGACUGGUCAGGUUCUGACGCUGAGGCGCGAAAGCGUGGGGAGCAAACAGG
rnacentral:rRNA from 1 species